rnacentral:rRNA from 2 species
ACUCUCAGCAACGGAUAUCUUGGCUCUUGCAACGAUGAAGAACGCAGCGAAAUGCGAUACGUAGUGUGAAUUGCAGAAUUCCGCGAAUCAUCGAGUUUUUGAACGCAAGUUGCGCCCGAGGCUCGUCCGAGGGCAUUUCCGCUAGAGCGUCA